ACAUCCACGGAAGUUUUCAGAGAUGAGAAUGUGCCUUCGGGAACCGUGAGACAGGUGCUGCAUGGCUGUCGUCAGCUCGUGUUGUGAAAUGUUGGGUUAAGUCCCGCAACGAGCGCAACCCUUAUCCUUUGUUGCCAGCGGUCCGGCCGGGAACUCAAAGGAGACUGCCAGUGAUAAACUGGAGGAAGGUGGGGAUGACGUCAAGUCAUCAUGGCCCUUACGACCAGGGCUACACACGUGCUACAAUGGCGCAUACAAAGAGAAGCGACCUCGCGAGAGCAAGCGGACCUCAUAAAGUGCGUCGUAGUCCGGAUUGGAGUCUGCAACUCGACUCCAUGAAGUCGGAAUCGCUAGUAAUCGUGGAUCAGAAUGCCACGGUGAAUACGUUCCCGGGCCUUGUACACACC
rnacentral:rRNA from 1 species